GGGCAUAAGUAACGCAGACAGCAAGAAAUCACCAUGGACAUGUAUUGCAAAAUACAAGCUGAUGGUGGAACAAGAAAUAGCUAAACUUGGAAGUUCUUUAUGAUAGUCACUUGUUCGUUAAUGGAUCAAAGAUUGAAGAAUCGGGUUUAGCUACAAUUAUCCCGGACUUACGGCGGAUGUGCUUAGGGAGGUAAGAGUUAGAAAAUUUAUUUUAUGCUAGUCAUUUGUUCUCUGUUUUUUAGCGUCGUGUUCAUAAUGUACAUAAUUCUCUCUCUCUGAGGUUGACAUCUGGCGAGUGUACUUGAAGGGGUGAAGAAAUUGCGCCAAUCCGGGGAAAAUCAUGGUGUACAGUUCUAUCGCUAAAUGUCAGUCCUUGAGGGAGGUUUGGCCGAGGUUCUUGAUGAUUAUGUUGAAACAGGGUUAUUUCCACCUUCACUGGUCCAUGCAAGAUAAUGGCGACAUGAUGGCGAUUCGCUAAAUUAAAUAAUUCCUCUUGUGACUUUUGAUCAUCCAGAGGGAAAGCGAUUAAUCUGGAUCCCAAUAAUCUCGCCAAGGAAUCUGAUGUUGAUGUGAACUAAUAACUUAAGGUUCUUCCCCCUAGCGGCAAAUCUUCUUUUGCCGGGAUGUUUCGAUAAUUCAGUGAUGGAUCUAGGGUAGGGGCCCGGGCCCCCCCUCGCUAUUUUGAGUUAAAAAAAA